GAGACGCUGGCGGCGUGCUUAACACAUGCAAGUCGAACGGUGAUCUUGAGAGCUUGCUCUUGGGUGAUCAGUGGCGAACGGGUGAGUAACACGUGAGUAACCUGCCCCUGACUCUGGAAUAACUUCGGGAAACCAAAGCUAAUACCGGAUAUGACACAGAGCCGCAUGGUUUCUGUGUGGAAAGUUUUCGGUUGGGGAUGGACUCGCGGCCUAUCAGCUUGUUGGUGAGGUAAUGGCUCACCAAGGCGACGACGGGUAGCCGGCCUGAGAGGGCGACCGGCCACACUGGGACUGAGACACGGCCCAGACUCCUACGGGAGGCAGCAGUGGGGAAUAUUGCACAAUGGGCGAAAGCCUGAUGCAGCGACGCCGCGUGAGGGAUGAAGGCCUUCGGGUUGUAAACCUCUUUCAGUAGGGAAGAAGCGCAAGUGACGGUACCUACAGAAGAAGCACCGGCUAACUACGUG
rnacentral:rRNA from 1 species